rnacentral:rRNA from 1 species
GACGAACGCUGGCGGCGUGCUUAACACAUGCAAGUCGAGCGGAAAGGCCCUUCGGGGUACUCGAGCGGCGAACGGGUGAGUAGCACGUGAGUAACCUGCCCCAGACUUUGGGAUAACCCUCGGAAACGGGGGCUAAUACCGGAUACGACACAGCUUCGCAUGGGGUCUGUGUGGAAAGUUUUUCGGUUUGGGAUGGGCUCGCGGCCUAUCAGCUUGUUGGUGGGGUGAUGGCCCACCAAGGCGACGACGGGUAGCCGGCCUGAGAGGGCGACCGGCCACACUGGGACUGAGACACGGCCCAGACUCCUACGGGAGGCAGCAGUGGGGAAUAUUGCACAAUGGGCGGAAGCCUGAUGCAGCGACGCCGCGUGAGGGAUGACGGCCUUCGGGUUGUAAACCUCUUUCAGCAGGGACGAAGCGUAAGUGACGGUACCUGCAGAAGAAGCGCCGGCCAACUACGUG